rnacentral:rRNA from 1 species
GAUGAACGCUGGCGGCGUGCUUAACACAUGCAAGUCGAACGAGUGGCGAACGGGUGAGUAACACGUGGGUGCUCUGCCUUGCACUCUGGGAUAAGCUUGGGAAACUGGGUCUAAUACCGGAUCGUGCAAGAUGAGCUCGCGGCCUAUCAGCUUGUUGGUGGGGUAAUGGUUACCUUGGCGCGAUCCCUAGCUGGUCUGAGAGGAUGAUCAGCCACACUGGGACUGAGACACGGCCCAGACUCCUACGGGAGGCAGCAGUGGGGAAUAUUGCACAAUGGGCGCAAGCCUGAUGCAGCCAUGCCGCGUGUAUGAAGAAGGCCCUAGGGUUGUAAAGUACUUUCAGUCGGGAGGCGUUACCGACAGAAGAAGCACCGGCUAACUCCGUGCCAGCAGCCGCGGUAAUAC